rfam:Triticum aestivum genome assembly, contig: Triticum_aestivum_CS42_TGACv1_scaffold_404207_5BL
CAACUACUCCCUCCGUCCGGAAAUACUUAUUGAAGGAAUGGAUGUAUCUAGACGUAUUUUAGUUCUAGAUACAUCCAUUUUUAUGCAUUUCUCCGACAAGUAUUUCCGGACGGAGGGAGUAAAUA